GCCUCAUUGGCUCAGUGGCAGAGCGUCCGUCUAGUAAACAGAAGGCCGGUGGUCCGAUUCCAGCAUGAGGCA
rfam:Enterobius vermicularis genome assembly, scaffold: EVEC_scaffold0001473